rfam:Arabis alpina cultivar Pajares scaff_48111_1_contig_0, whole genome shotgun sequence.
GUGCCCUUUAUGGGACAUCCGAUAAAAUUGGAACAAUACAUAGAAAAUUAGCAUGGUCCAUGGGUAAGGAUGACGCGUACAAAUCGAGAAAUGAUCCAAAUUUUU